rnacentral:rRNA from 1 species
CCACCACUAAGCCAGUGGUGAACUCCACAUACGCAUCCUUUGCUGAGGAUACGGUUAACGGAGCGAAAGCGACGUUCAACCGCAAAAGAAGCAGAGGGGGCUUAGUGGUGGGGUGACUGCGUACCUUUUGUAUAAUGGGUCAGCGACUUAUAUUCUGUAGCAAGGUUAACCGAAUAGGGGAGCCGGAGGGAAACCGAGUCUUAAUUGGGCGUUAAGUUGCAGGGUAUAGACCCGAAACCCGGUGAUCUAGCCAUGGGCAGGUUGAAGGUUGGGUAACACUAACUGGAGGACCGAACCGACUAAUGUUGAAAAAUUAGCGGAUGACCUGUGGCUGGGGGUGAAAGGCCAAUCAAACCGGGAGAUAGCUGGUUCUCCCCGAAAGCUAUUUAGGUAGCGCCUCGUGAAUUCAUCUCCGGGGGUAGAGCACUGUUUCGGCUAGGGGGCCAUCCCGGCUUACCAACCCGAUGCAAACUGCGAAUACCGGAGAAUGUUAUCACGGGAGACACACGGCGGGUGCUAACGUCCGUCGUGAAGAGGGAAACAACCCAGACCGCCAGCUAAGGUCCCAAAGUCAUGGUUAAGUGGGAAACGAUGUGGGAAGGCCCAGACAGCCAGGAUGUUGGCUUAGAAGCAGCCAUCAUUUAAAGAAAGCGUAAUAGCUCACUGGUCGAGUCGGCCUGCGCGGAAGAUGUAACGGGGCUAAACCAUGCACCGAAGCUGCGGCAGCGAACGUAUCACCCAAGACAACUUUACGGAGUUGACGAUUGACGGAGCGAAGCGACGUCAAAGCGUUCAUUAAAGUCGAGUUGGCUUAGGGAUACGUUCGUUGGGUAGGGGAGCGUUCUGUAAGCCUGUGAAGGUGUGUCGUGAGGC